UACGUAGGGGGCAAGCGUUGUCUGGAUUUAUUGGGCGUAAAGAGCGUGUAGGCGGCUAGAUAGGUCCGUUGUGAAAACUCGAGGCUCAACCUCGAGACGUCGAUGGAAACCAUCUGGCUAGAGUCCGGAAGAGGAGAGUGGAAUUCCUGGUGUAGCGGUGAAAUGCGCAGAUAUCAGGAAGAACACCCGUGGCGAAGGCGGCCCUCUGGGAAGUGACUGACGCUGAGACGCGAAAGCGUGGGGAGCGAACAGG
rnacentral:rRNA from 1 species